rnacentral:rRNA from 1 species
AGCACUAACAAUUCAAUACCUUAAGACUGUAAGCUAUGAACUUUAAACUUAAAGGACUUGGCGGUAAUUUGGCCCAGUAAGAGGAACCUGUUUGGUAAACGAUAAACCACGAAAAAUCUUACCCAUUCUUAAAGUUUGUAUACCGUCAUUAUUAGGUUACUCUUAUAAGAUAAGUUACUUCAAUAAAUAUUCCUAUUUAGUAUAUUAGAUCAAGGUGCAGCCUAUGAGUGGGUCAUAAUGGGUUACAAUAAAACUUACUUACUACGAAUAAAAAAUUUAAAUAUUUUUUUGAAGGAGGAUUUUAUAGUAAGGCUAUUUUAAUAAGUUAGCCUGAUAAAGGAUCCAAAUUGAGUACAUAUCGCCCGUCGCUUCCCUUCCCAAA